rnacentral:rRNA from 1 species
GACGAACGCUGGCGGCGCGCCUAACACAUGCAAGUCGAACGAGGUUGAGAGGAGCUUGCUUUUCUUGACUUAGUGGCGAACGGGUGAGUAACGCGUGAGAAACCUGCCUUUCAGAGGGGGACAACAGUUGGAAACGACUGCUAAUACCGCAUGACACAUUUGGGUGGCAUCACCUGAAUGUCAAAGAUUAUAUCGCUGAAAGAUGGCCUCGCGUCUGAUUAGCUAGUUGGUAGGGUAACGGCCUACCAAGGCGACGAUCAGUAGCCGGACUGAGAGGUUGAUCGGCCACAUUGGGACUGAGAUACGGCCCAG